rnacentral:rRNA from 1 species
UACAGAGGGUGCAAGCGUUAAUCGGAUUUACUGGGCGUAAAGCGUGCGUAGGCGGUUCAUUAAGUCGGUUGGGAAAUCCCUGGGCUUAACCUGGGAACUGCAGUCGAUACUGGUGGACUAGAGUACGGUAGAGGGUGGCGGAACUCCGGGUGUAGCGGUGAAAUGCGUAGAUAUCCGGAAGAACACCGAUGGCGAAGGCAACCACCUGGGCCUGUACUGACGCUGAGGUACGAAAGCGUGGGGAGCAAACAGG